ensembl:snRNA U2 U2 spliceosomal RNA
AUUGCUUCUUGACCUUUUGUCUGAGAUCAAAUAUAGCACCUGCUCUUAUCAGUUUAAUACCUGAUAUGUCCUCUAUCUCAAGAGUCAGGAUCUUUUAAGGAUCUUUCUGGGAAGCCUCA